UGCAUUCAAUACUGUAAAUCGCUCUGGAUAAGAGUGUCUGCUAAAUGACUAAAA
rfam:Salmo salar isolate Sally breed double haploid chromosome ssa24, whole genome shotgun sequence.